rnacentral:rRNA from 1 species
UUGAACGCUGGCGGCAGGCCUAACACAUGCAAGUCGAACGGUAACAGGAAGAAGCUUGCUUCUUUGCUGACGAGUGGCGGACGGGUGAGUAAUGUCUGGGAAACUGCCUGAUGGAGGGGGAUAACUACUGGAAACGGUAGCUAAUACCGCAUAACGUCGCAAGACCAAAGAGGGGGACCUUCGGGCCUCUUGCCAUCGGAUGUGCCCAGAUGGGAUUAGCUAGUAGGUGGGGUAACGGCUCACCUAGGCGACGAUCCCUAGCUGGUCUGAGAGGAUGACCAGCCACACUGGAACUGAGACACGGUCCAGACUCCUACGGGAGGCAGCAGUGGGGAAUAUUGCACAAUGGGCGCAAGCCUGAUGCAGCCAUGCCGCGUGUAUGAAGAAGGCCUUCGGGUUGUAAAGUACUUUCAGCGGGGAGGAAGGGAGUAAAGUUAAUACCUUUGCUCAUUGACGUUACCCGCAGAAGAAGCACCGGCUAACUCCGUGCCAGCAGCCGCGGUAAUACGGAGGGUGCAAGCGUUAAUCGGAAUUACUGGGCGUAAAGCGCACGCAGGCGGUUUGUUAAGUCAGAUGUGAAAUCCCCGGGCUCAACCUGGGAACUGCAUCUGAUACUGGCAAGCUUGAGUCUCGUAGAGGGGGGUAGAAUUCCAGGUGUAGCGGUGAAAUGCGUAGGGAUCUGGAGGAAUACCGGUGGCGAAGGCGGCCCCCUGGACGAAGACUGACGCUCAGGUGCGAAAGCGUGGGGAGCAAACAGGAUUAGAUACCCUGGUAGUCCACGCCGUAAACGAUGUCGACUUGGAGGUUGUGCCCUUGAGGCGUGGCUUCCGGAGCUAACGCGUUAAGUCGACCGCCUGGGGAGUACGGCCGCAAGGUUAAAACUCAAAUGAAUUGACGGGGGCCCGCACAAGCGGUGGAGCAUGUGGUUUAAUUCGAUGCAACGCGAAGAACCUUACCUGGUCUUGACAUCCACGGAAGUUUUCAGAGAUGAGAAUGUGCCUUCGGGAACCGUGAGACAGGUGCUGCAUGGCUGUCGUCAGCUCGUGUUGUGAAAUGUUGGGUUAAGUCCCGCAACGAGCGCAACCCUUAUCCUUUGUUGCCAGCGGUCCGGCCGGGAACUCAAAGGAGACUGCCAGUGAUAAACUGGAGGAAGGUGAGGAUGACGUCAAGUCAUCAUGGCCCUUACGACCAGGGCUACACACGUGCUACAAUGGCGCAUACAAAGAGAAGCGACCUCGCGAGAGCAAGCGGACCUCAUAAAGUGCGUCGUAGUCCGGAUUGGAGUCUGCAACUCGACUCCAUGAAGUCGGAAUCGCUAGUAAUCGUGGAUCAGAAUGCCACGGUGAAUACGUUCCCGGGCCUUGUACACACCGCCCGUCACACCAUGGGAGUGGGUUGCAAAAGAAGUAGGUAGCUUAACCUUCGGGAGGGCGCUUACCACUUUGUGAUUCAUGACUGGGGUG